AAGGUGGGAUGCCAACCAGAGGGGACGGGGAGCAGCUGGUUGCCCUGGACAAAAUAGGUAGCCAUUAUUGAUGCUACAUUGAAGAAGUGGCCGGCAGCCAGCCGAGGGCAGAUAGGCACAGCUAUAAAUUCCAGGCUCGCAGGGAUGCGAAGAUCCAUGAAAUUAUUUUUUUUCCUUUCCAGUUUUUUGUCGUUUUUGUACAUUUUGAUAGUCCUUAAAUAAAUAAUGUAAAUUUCUA